AAUGUGAGAAAAUGCAGACAUGAAGAAGUGGUUCAAGUUCUUCGGAAUGCUGGUGAAGAAGUGACCCUAACGGUCUCAUUUUUGAAAAGAGCACCUGCUUUCCUCAAACUGCCACUGAAUGAAGAUUGCGCAUGUGCCCCGAGCGACCAGAGCAGCGGCACAUCCUCCCCUCUGUGCGACAGCGGCUUACACCUCAACUUCCACCCCAACAACACAGACACGCUGUCCUGCUCGUCCUGGCCCGCGUCCCCGGGCCUGAGGUGGGAGAAGCGGUGGUGCGACCUCCGGCUGAUCCCCCUGCUCCACUCCCGGUUCUCCCAGUAUGUGCCCGGCACAGAUUUGAGUCGG
rnacentral:lncRNA from 1 species